rnacentral:rRNA from 1 species
AGCAACGCGAAGAACCUUACCAGGUCUUGACAUCCUCUGACAACCCUAGAGAUAGGGCUUCCCCUUCGGGGGCAGAGUGACAGGUGGUGCAUGGUUGUCGUCAGCUCGUGUCGUGAGAUGUUGGGUUAAGUCCCGCAACGAGCGCAACCCUUGAUCUUAGUUGCCAGCAUUCAGUUGGGCACUCUAAGGUGACUGCCGGUGACAAACCGGAGGAAGGUGGGGAUGACGUCAAAUCAUCAUGCCCCUUAUGACCUGGGCUACACACGUGCUACAAUGGGCAGAACAAAGGGCAGCGAAGCCGCGAGGCUAAGCCAAUCCCACAAAUCUGUUCUCAGUUCGGAUCGCAGUCUGCAACUCGAUG